rnacentral:rRNA from 1 species
UGGGGAAUAUUGGACAAUGGGCGAAAGCCUGAUCCAGCCAUGCCGCGUGUGUGAAGAAGGCCUUUUGGUUGUAAAGCACUUUAAGCGAGGAGGAGGCUACUAGUACUAAUACUACUGGAUAGUGGACGUUACUCGCAGAAUACGCACCGGCUAACUCUGUGCCAGCAGCCGCGGUAAUACAGAGGGUGCGAGCGUUAAUCGGAUUUACUGGGCGUAAAGCGUGCGUAGGCGGCUGGUUAAGUCGGAUGUGAAAUCCCUGAGCUUAACUUAGGAAUUGCAUUCGAUACUGGUCAGCUAGAGUAUGGGAGAGGAUGGUAGAAUUCCAGGUGUAGCGGUGAAAUGCGUAGAGAUCUGGAGGAAUACCGAUGGCGAAGGCAGCCAUCUGGCCUAAUACUGACGCUGAGGUACGAAAGCAUGGGGAGCAAACAGG